CCCCUACCGUACGACCCCCCAAAACCCCCUCAGAACCCCUUAGUUUUUUGUCAGGUUGGUGCCAAUUGACUGCUCUCGGUGAGAUCUAUCGCUAUGCAAAAUGAUCCGCCUUGGGAACACACUUUGACCGACCGACAUGUGGACAUGUGGACAUGUCACCCGUCCGCCGACAAGUGUCCUGACAGACUGGCCUGCUAUGCAACGGCUUACUCCAAUGUUACUUGAUAGUACGAAAUGAGCUGACGCGUUCAUCCAUGCAAAACCCGCCCGGCACCGGCCUGUCCCUGGCCCGUUCCCCAGGCAUCUUCCAAAAUGCUGACAUGCCGCUCCCCAAAGUACCCCAUACUAUGCAUGUGUGCUAAGUCUGGGGUAUACCUACGCACGCCUCGUUGAGCUGCACCCAUUGUGCCGCGCGCUGCAGGACAGAAGCGCUAGGAACAAAACUUGGCACGAACCUGUGCAAAACCUCUUGGGACCCCCCGACCGACCGACCGACUGGCCACUUUGAGGGGGCAUAACUUUGCACCCAGAAACCCAUUUUCAAUUUUGAAAGCGGAUUCGUGAUUUUCUCCUUGAGCUCUAUCCAUUUGAGGCAUGGGGUCUGUUGCGGAAGAUUCUACCCCCCCCUGUUACAGUUGCACUGUUAGGGCUAGGGCCCGAGUCACGAGAAGACAAGACCGGCAUACAUGCGAACUAACCCCUACCGCUACGCAGUACCCCGGCUUGCCGCUCCCCCCUCAGGCGCUUGCGCUUGAGCCUGGUGAAAGAUGGCCAGCAACAGAAUCGAUAAGGCUACAAGAAGUCCUCUAACAAGUGCGCCCUGAAUAUGCAGCAGCAGCCCGGAGGGGCGUGCAGUUUGCCAUCGGCGAUGCCACAGUUAGGGACAGGGGCGAGCCCUGCACACCGCGUGCACCAGCAGCAGGCAGGAACGAAAGGCAGGGACAAUUGAGAACUAGACAGGUAAAUAAACAUAUUAGGCGAUCGUGCCAGGCCUACAAACAAGAACGCUGGACCAGUCCCCGCAUGGAUCCUCGCUUCUUAGCAGCACUGCUCGCUUCCAAUAAUGCAACAUCUUUGAGAUUAUUCAACUUUUAAAGUUUAAUAAAGUUGACGCAGCGAAAAGACAGUUGAGCUGAAGAGGGUCAGUUGCGGAAAUUUCGCUUAAAUGUCGCGCGGCCUUCGGCCGCGCGUGUAAGCAAAGACCCCAUACCCCAUGCAGCUAAUUAGAGAGCACAAUGUGCCCCCAUAAUUUGCGCAAAUUGCCCAGUGCCGUUGUUUUCCAUUAACUAUGGGAGGGGCCGGGGGCGUAGCCCCCGGGAAAAAAUUUGGAAAUCCCUGGCACAAAACGCUUGAUUUUUGACGUUGGUAAGGAGGGCACGGCGUGCUCCUCCGGGGUCACAACUGCUGGGGGCAGCCGUGGGCAAGACACGCGGUCAGGUAGCCCGGCCCUGCCCGGCCUGCCAUGCUUCUACUGGCUGGGCGCGGGCGCUACACCUCCUCUGCCUCGGACACUCAUGUGUGGCCCUAUCGGGCAAGGAUAGCAGUGUUGGGCCGGACAGAUACGUCUCCUGCAGCGUGAUAAAGGUGGCUGCUGGUCGCCGCCACACCACACCGCUGGACCCCUUGCCCUCGCCCUCGCUCCCCUGCCCCCUGUCUACGCACUGCGCAAAUAUUAAAUGCAAUUAUGAGCUGCAGUGGCUGCUGUAUCGUGGGCCACCGCACCUAGUUACUGCAUAAUCAACCCAAGCUGGGCGUGGGGCGACAGGGGGCAGCAAGGUGGGUACUCGUACUCGCUGGGUACGCGCCUAACUUCUGCGCAAUUUGCGCGGCCUUCGGGCCUUCGGCCGCGCAAGUUCCCCCAACCCCAUUUCAGCAUAAUAACGGCCUCUGGAUCACCCCAUAAUUCCCGCAAUUUGCCUGCCGCAGCCCGCGAAGCCCGCGAUGGGAGUGGACCUGCCCUCUGCCUCUGGUUUUUGCCGUCCGGAAGUUUACUGGAUCCCUUAUGCAUAAAAGACCUCCGACCUUGCGAAGGCCAUAUCAACUGCAAUAUGUAUUCAGCAAUAAAAUCGACUCAGACCGUCUGGGGUGCAUAUUUACCUCCUUUUGGUGUUCUGUGCACGCGCGCCAGCUGCUAACAUUGAGUAGCCUUACUGAUGGGCGCGAAGCUCUCCGCGUGCCUGCGUGGCCCGUCGCGCUCACACGAGCCCAACCACGAUGCGCAGCUGCAGCUUGAAGGCUCGCCGUUU
rnacentral:lncRNA from 1 species